rnacentral:sRNA from 1 species
GCGGCGAGAGCGGGUCGC